rnacentral:rRNA from 1 species
UACGAAGGGUGCAAACGUUGCUCGGAAUCAUUGGGCGUAAAGCGCACGUAGGCGGCCUCAUAAGUCGGAUGUGAAAUCCCUCGGCUCAACCGAGGACGUGCAUUCGAAACUGUGAGACUCGAGUAUGGAAGAGGGUCGCGGAAUUCCCGGUGUAGAGGUGAAAUUCGUAGAUAUCGGGAGGAACACCAGUGGCGAAGGCGGCGACCUGGGCCAAUACUGACGCUGAGGUGCGAAAGCGUGGGGAGCAAACAGG